rnacentral:rRNA from 1 species
UACGUAGGGGGCAAGCGUUGUCCGGAUUUAUUGGGCGUAAAGAGCGUGUAGGCGGCUUUACAGGUCCGUUGUGAAAGCCCGGGGCUCACCCCCGGAAGUGCAUUGGAAACUGACGGACUCGAGUCCCGGAGAGGAGAGUGGAAUUCCUGGUGUAGCGGUGAAAUGCGUAGAUAUCAGGAGGAACACCGGUGGCGAAGGCGGCUCUCUGGACGGUGACUGACGCUGAGACGCGAAAGCGUGGGGAGCAAACAGG